rnacentral:rRNA from 1 species
ACGGAAGGCAGCAGUGGGGAAUAUUGCACAAUGGGCGAAAGCCUGAUGCAGCGACGCCGCGUGAACGAAGAAGUAUUUCGGUAUGUAAAGUUCUAUCAGCAGGGAAGAUAAUGACGGUACCUGACUAAGAAGCACCGGCUAAAUACGUGCCAGCAGCCGCGGUAAUACGUAUGGUGCAAGCGUUAUCCGGAUUUACUGGGUGUAAAGGGAGCGCAGGCGGCGCGGCAAGUCUGAUGUGAAAGCCCGGGGCUCAACCCCGGUACUGCAUUGGAAACUGUCGUGCUAGAGUGUCGGAGGGGUAAGCGGAAUUCCUAGUGUAGCGGUGAAAUGCGUAGAUAUUAGGAAGAACACCAGUGGCGAAGGCGGUUAGCUGGACAAUAACUGACGCUGAGGCGCGAAAGCGUGGGUAGCAAACAGGAUUAGAUACCCUGGUA